GGAGGGUUGGCAGAGUGGUCGAAUGCACCGGUUUCGAAAACCGGAGUACCUGUAAAGGUACCACAGGUUCGAAUCCUGUACCCUCCG
rfam:Candidatus Buchananbacteria bacterium RIFCSPHIGHO2_01_FTLL_39_8 rifcsphigho2_01_scaffold_26815, whole genome shotgun sequence.